GUGAGGAAUGGAGUGCGUUUCGUCGGAUUAUUCGGUCUGUGUGCUCUGUGAAGUAUGGAAUAAAAGUUUGUGUCAUCGAAUCAAAUUGGGUUCUCUCUGCUCUCCCAACCCGGCCAAUCGCCAACCUUAACAUGGUGCCGAAACCUCGGCGAACCCUUGAGGACUGAAUAGCCUGAGAUCGAGUUUCCAACAUCGUCAUUGACUUCUCACUGGUGGCCUAAAUCCGCAUCCCCUCGUGAUGGACAUUCCAACGGCAGCUUGAUAGUUUCCAACCUCGUCAUGGACUUCUCACUGGUGGCCUAAAUCCGCAUCCCCUCGUGAUGGACGUUCCAACGGCAGCUAAAUAGUUUCCAACCUCGUCAUGGACUUCUCACUGGUGGCCUAAAUCCGCAUCCCCUCGUGAUGGACAUUCCAACGGCAGCUAAAUAGUUUCCAACCUCGUCAUGGACUUCUCACUGGUGGCUUAAAUCCGAAUCCCGACCUCUUGAUGGACAUUCAAACGGCAGCUAAACUCCACUUCUAACCUUAACCAGAAACUGUUAUUUGUACACACUCUUGCUGAUCCAGUUUCUAGGAACGAUUCUACACUCUGGAAAGACCGCAGACUCCUUUUAUCAGCUCAAACUACUCCAGCACCUCAAUCCAAGCUGUUAAUAUGGGCUUAUCACUGAUUACCUCAACAUCACGCUAAGAGUCCUGCUUAUCUCAACCUGAUCACAUCUUCUUCACAAACAACUCUUAAUCUAGAUGAUUAUCUUCCUCUUAACGCUAAAUUAUCUUGCAAUCCGUUGUCAAUCAAUCUUACCUUAUUUUGUAGAAUCGUCCCCUAGAAACACUGAUUGUUAACUUGUAUCUUAUCAUAAUUGUUUAUUGUCAAAGACAGAAAAACACUCUCAUUCUAAAACCAUCCUUUAUUACGUUUCACUUGCUCACUAAAGCAUGCUUAACUUUAACAAAAUUUUGCGCUUCAAGAGAAAAACUUAACCUCUCAUCCAUCUUAGUCGUCGGAGGUCCUCCUCUCCCAACAAGGGGGGAUGUCAAGUAUAGCGACU